AGACCCGAAACCCGGUGAUCUAGCCAUGGGCAGGUUGAAGGUUGGGUAACACUAACUGGAGGACCGAACCGACUAAUGUUGAAAAAUUAGCGGAUGACCUGUGGCUGGGGGUGAAAGGCCAAUCAAACCGGGAGAUAGCUGGUUCUCCCCGAAAGCUAUUUAGGUAGCGCCUCGUGAAUUCAUCUCCGGGGGUAGAGCACUGUUUCGGCUAGGGGGCCAUCCCGGCUUACCAACCCGAUGCAAACUGCGAAUACCGGAGAAUGUUAUCACGGGAGACACACGGCGGGUGCUAACGUCCGUCGUGAAGAGGGAAACAACCCAGACCGCCAGCUAAGGUCCCAAAGUCAUGGUUAAGUGGGAAACGAUGUGGGAAGGCCCAGACAGCCAGGAUGUUGGCUUAGAAGCAGCCAUCAUUUAAAGAAAGCGUAAUAGCUCACUGGUCGAGUCGGCCUGCGCGGAAGAUGUAACGGGGCUAAACCAUGCACCGAAGCUGCGGCAGCGAACGUAUCACCCAAGACAACUUUACGGAGUUGACGAUUGACGGAGCGAAGCGACG
rnacentral:rRNA from 1 species